rnacentral:rRNA from 1 species
UAAUACGUAGGGUGCGAGCGUUAAUCGGAAUUACUGGGCGUAAAGCGUGCGCAGGCGGUUUGGUAAGACAGGCGUGAAAUCCCCGGGCUCAACCUGGGAACUGCGCUUGUGACUGCCUCACUAGAGUACGGCAGAGGGGGGUGGAAUUCCACGUGUAGCAGUGAAAUGCGUAGAGAUGUGGAGGAACACCGAUGGCGAAGGCAGCCCCCUGGGCCGAUACUGACGCUCAUGCACGAAAGCGUGGGUAGCAAACAGGAUUAGAUACCCUGGUAGUCCACGCCCUAAACGAUGUCAACUAGUUGUUGGGGGGGUAAAACCCUUUAGUAACGUAGCUAACGCGUGAAGUUGACCGCCUGGGGAGUACGGCCGCAAGGUUAAAACUCAAAGGAAUUGACGG